rnacentral:rRNA from 1 species
UACGUAGGGCGCAAGCGUUGUCCGGAAUUAUUGGGCGUAAAGAGCUCGUAGGCGGUUUGUCGCGUCUGCUGUGAAAACCUAAGGCUCAACCUUGGGCUUGCAGUGGGUACGGGCAGACUAGAGUGCGGUAGGGGGUGACUGGAAUUCCUGGUGUAGCGGUGGAAUGCGCAGAUAUCAGGAGGAACACCGAUGGCGAAGGCAGGUCACUGGGCCGCAACU